CAGAUCCUCCUUUUGCUAUGGUUCUUGUCAUUCCUGUUUUGGAAGCAAACUUGUUACAAUGGAUGGAAAAAAGAAUACGAUGGAAUUUUGAUGGCAGGAUCAACAGUUCAUGUUGCUGCAUCAGAAUAUGCAUGCGUAGAUAAAGCCACUGACGUUAUAGCUGGUGGAUCUAAAGACAAUAAUGGCAAAUUAUUUUAUCCUGUUAUAACAUCGUGUGGGUCACUAAAAUGUCCGCCAUAUAAGUAGGACACAGAAGUAUUGUGUGUUAUUUGCUCAAAAUAGCAAUGGCAAUUUAAUGUAUGGUCCAAUUGAAGGAGCCAAAUAUGUUAGUUACAGUCAAAAUAAAUUGACGACUGCUUAAUUUGUGGUUGCUUUACGCCGCCUCAGCACAUGAAGGCAAUAUCGCGGCGAGAGCUAAUUCAAAUAUUUUUAGAAAGAUAGUUUUUAAAAUCUGACAAAAGAUCCUUCAAUAUAUAAAACACAAGUUUAAAGCAAAAUUAAUUAUUUACAAAUGAAAUUCACAAAGACUACAUUGCAAAGAUUAAAAGCAUUUUAAACUGCAUCAACAUAUUUAUAUUUUAGAAUAUAUUCUAAUUUCUUUUAAAAACGAAACAAUUUGUGUAACUGGAAUACUAUCAAAUAAAUCAUACAUAUUAUU